GAGAAAGUGUUUGAAAAUUCAAAUUGAAGCAUAAUUGGAGGGAAAGAAAGUUUAAGUCUUAUUUGAAGGAAGGAACCAUUACAUGAUUCAAAGUUACAUAUACAUCAACAUUACACGAAAUACCCAAGCACAUGGACCUACUUCCUAACUAAUUUAGUCUUAAACUCAUAACUUCAUCUUUAUCAUGAUCUUGAAAAGCAAUGCAAAUGGCCAACAGAUCAUUGGCAUCACAAAAAGGCAUGGAAAACAUAUCAAGUUCGUCGACCUCAUUCAAUCUACAAGCAGUGAUUCAACCUACAACAACCAUUCAAUCGUAAGUAACAAAUAGUUCCAAAACAACUCACAUCGAUUGACAAAAACAAGUUCAUGACAGUUCCAAUGACAAUGCAUCACCUAUCAUUCCAAAUAACAUCAAGUAAUGAGCAAUUCAAUCCAUAAUACUGCAAAUUGAAUCAAUCAGUAGAGUUCAAAAAGCAGGCUUUCAUUUCCACCAUCGGGCUUGCAAAUCAAUGUUAAAAAGCAGACAAUACAACUCAGAAAAUUUUACUUCGUACCCCUACAUUUAGC
rnacentral:lncRNA from 1 species